rnacentral:rRNA from 1 species
GGAGAAAAGCAGGGGAUCGUAAGACCUUGCGCUUUUGGAGUGGCCGAUGCCUGAUUAGCUAGUUGGUGGGGUAAAGGCCUACCAAGGCGACGAUCAGUAGUUGGUCUGAGAGGACGACCAGCCACACUGGGACUGAGACACGGCCCAGACUCCUACGGGAGGCAGCAGUGGGGAAUUUUGGACAAUGGACGAAAGCCUGAUCCAGCAAUGCCGCGUGAGUGAAGAAGGCCUUCGGGUUGUAAAGCUCUUUCAGUCGAGAAGAAAAGAUUGUGAUGAAUAAUCACAGUUCAUGACGGUAUCGACAGAAGAAGCACCGGCUAACUACGUGCCAGCAGCCGCGGUAAUACGUAGGGUGCAAGCGUUAAUCGGAAUUACUGGGCGUAAAGGGUGCGCAGGCGGCUUUGUAAGUCAGAUGUGAAGUCCCCGGGCUUAACCUGGGAAUUGCGUUUGAAACUACAAGGCUAGA